GGGAAUGAGUUUCGUGUUUGAAAUCAACCACAAAUAUGUGAGGCGUUACUUGGACACCAUUACCAAGAAGAGCCAACGUAAGAAAAGCAAUUUUGAAUGGUCACCUGGACGAGAACCAUGAUGGAAGCUGUUGAAAGGUGCCUUCUGUUUUAUGGUUUGUCCAAGUAAUUAAGCAAUGUGUUGUACGAAUAUAUUAUUGAUAGCAUCUAUGUCUCACCCAGCAAUAGAUCUGUGGAUAUUUCAUGUUACAUGUAGAUAAUCGUUUUAUAUUCAAGUCUGGGCAGCAGCAUGAUUCUCUCUCUCUCUCUCUCUCUCUCUCUCUCUCUCUCUCGGCAUCCGUCUUGCUGAUCUGUUUUCAGCAAAAAAUUGGCAUAUAUGAUAGAGAGUUUGGCUUUAAUGAUUCAUUGCCAGUAGGUGGAGUACGUCCUGGCUUUUCUUCUUGGCUGCAAUUGAUGUAUGGAUAAGGGUCCUUCUGAAUCUACACUGAUGGUUUAUGGAGAGUGAGCCCAUUAGAAAGCAGAACCAUUUUCAGUUCAUGCAACUUAUAGAAACAAGUCGAUUCGACCAUGUAGAAAUCUAGACCCUAUUCUUGCCUUUUGGAGAAAGUCUUAUGUUGAUCAGGCAGAUGCUUUCAGCGACCUAAUUUCCUAGUAAAACGAUGUUAAAAAAAAUUACAAAACAGGCUCGUUUGAUGAAUUGUGGUAUCAUUCUGAUUGAAAAAUUGGAAUUUGGACUUGGUCAUUUGAAUAUGCAUUAUUUAUUUCUACUUUACUCACCUG
rnacentral:lncRNA from 1 species